rnacentral:rRNA from 1 species
AACGAACGCUGGCGGCAGGCCUAACACAUGCAAGUCGAGCGAAGCCUUCGGGCUUAGCGGCGGACGGGUGAGUAACGCGUGGGAACGUGCCCUUUGGUACGGAAUAGCCCCGGGAGACUGGGAGUAAUACCGUAUGUGGUCGAGAGACGAAAGAUUUAUCGCCAAAGGGUCGGCCCGCGUUGGAUUAGGUAGUUGGUGGGGUAAUGGCCUACCAAGCCGACGAUCCAUAGCUGGUUUGAGAGGAUGAUCAGCCACACUGGGACUGAGACACGGCCCAGACUCCUACGGGAGGCAGCAGUGGGGAAUCUUAGACAAUGGGGGAAACCCUGAUCUAGCCAUGCCGCGUGAUCGAUGAAGGCCUUAGGGUUGUAAAGAUCUUUCAGUGGGGAAGAUAAUGACUGUACCCACAGAAGAAGCCCCGGCUAACUCCGUGCCAGCAGCCGCCGUAAUAC